UCUCCGUUGGUGAACCAGCGGAGGGAUCAUUACUGGAAUCGCAAGAUCCCACAACCCUGUGAACCUACCGAAACGUUGCCUCGGCGGGUGCCCGGCCCCCGCGCCGGGCGCUGCGCCCGCCGGCGGCCCCCUACUCUGUCUCUGCAGCGUGGCAUCUCAGAGUCCCAGAAAACAAGUCAAAACUUUCAACGACGGAUCUCUUGGCUCUAGCAUGAUGAAGAACGGC
rnacentral:misc_RNA from 1 species